AGAUUGAACGCUGGCGGAAUGCUUUACACAUGCAAGUCGAACGGCAGCACGGGGGUAACCCUGGUGGCGAGUGGCGAACGGGUGAGUAAUACAUCGGAACGUGCCCAGUCGUGGGGGAUAACGUAGCGAAAGCUACGCUAAUACCGCAUACGAACUCUGGUUGAAAGCGGGGGACUCGCAAGAGCCUCGCGCGAUUGGAGCGGCCGAUGGCAGAUUAGGUAGUUGGUGGGGUAAAGGCUCACCAAGCCUGCGAUCUGUAGCUGGUCUGAGAGGACGACCAGCCACACGUGGACGUGAGACACGGCCCAGACUCCGACGGGAGGCAGCAGGUGGGUAAUUUGGACUAAGUGGGCGACGAACGCUAGACUCCAGCCUA
rnacentral:rRNA from 1 species